rnacentral:lncRNA from 1 species
GAGGUCGGUCGAAGCAGCGACGGAUUGAUGGGGGAGGGUUUGGGAUUUUGGAGGAAUUUUUUCCCCUCUAGAAUUUCGAAUGGGGGAGGCGGUUGGGGGAACGGCGCUGGGCCCUACUUAUAUCAGGCGCGAGACUGAACGCGGGGGGGCGAGCGCGAUGAUUUUGAGAAGGGGAAAUGACGUUUUUGCCUAUAGCACGCCCGCGUUUCAGUUGGGGUGAGACAGGGGCACUAUGGGGAAAUGAGCUACGUAGUACUCCCUCCGUCCUAAAAUUCUUG